UUAACUGAUCUGCACAGCAAGGAGUAGCCAGACACCAGGAGAGUAGACAGACAUCACAAGGCGUGGGUGUUGAACACGAGGCAAACUGGCUAGGUGGUGACGCCACUCGAGACAUAGGACCACUGUUCUACUAAACAGCUAAGUGGUUGAAACAGUUUAAUACUAAUCUAUGGAUAGAGCAGAAAUUGUCAAAUUGAAGUAAUAAAUAAAUACUGAUAAUUAAUUUACAUUUAAUAAAUACUCAUUCUGCUCUAUCCCAAUUAAUACUAACACUACAACCCCCAACUGUGGUUUUAUGUGAAAAUACACCUAUGGAAUACAGUCCAUUAACAAACAUUCAUUAUACAGUUCACUUUCGAAGGUAAAUUAAAUAAAUACAUUAACUUAAUCACAUCAUCCCACAACCAUCCUCAUAGUUCUCACUUGUUCCAACCAUCUACCACUCUGCAAAAGUGAACUUUAUAAUUUUUUUGUAGCAGCUUUGUUUCCUUCAUUUGAACCUAUGACCUAUUCUUGAAAAUGUAGUUUUAAAAAAUUCUGUCAAUUUUGUCGAUUCCUGUUAUUAUUUUGUACAUAUUGAUCAUAUACCCUUGUUUUGUUCUAUCUUCUAGCUUUAGUAUAUUUAACAACUCUAACCUCUCCUCGUAGGUAUUGUGUCCCAGUUCUGAAAGCCAUUAAAUUACAUGUCUUUGCACCUUUUCCAGUUUACCUGAAUUUACCUGAGGGCCACUCUCUAAUUGUCUUGACGAGGACAGAAACCCGGUAAAAGGUCUUAUCAAAAGUCCCCCAUUUGUCCUGAUGAUUUUAUCGGGCUGGAUUCUAAAGUUCAACAGAGUUUUGGCAUUUACUGCUCUGAGGAAACAUGUGCUGUUAGAUCAGAUAGAGAGCUGUACACCUGAAGAAGAGCAUUGAAAACUACGCUGAAUCUCUCUCUCCAAAUCGGACAUUAUACAGUACACUCAUACCUGGAAAGUCUGUCAGAGCCCAGAUUGGCAGUACGGCGACCCCUGAGGACAUAAUGGAUGGAGGAGGGAAAUCAGAGUUAAAAUUGCAUUAGAUGCCUUCAAGUCAGCAUUUAUGUAAGGUAUUGAAAGUAUUUACAUUUCAUUAGUUAUCAGGUAGCUGUAAGUCUAUCCUCAAAGUGAAGUCAGCAAGGUGAUUGGAAAGGCAUUUAAAUGUAAUAUUAGGUACAGUUUAGCUUGGCAAAGUAAUUUAUAAUACUAGGUAUAGAAAUCAGUAAGACUUCAAUAAAUCAUGGCAAUGAGGAAGACACUUCUGGUAAUUCCAAUACCAGCCUUAGCCACAAGAAAAGCUUAGUAGCUUUGAACUUUCUGAACUUGCAUAGUUUAAAGUUGGUUGCCUUAUGACAGGGCACCACACUCAGAGGCUCAGCCAAGCCCAAGUAGGGUGCCCUGUCAUAAGGCAAUCAACUUCAAACUAUGGCUUCUCAAAGAGGCUAUGCAAAUUCAGAAUGUUCAAAGCUGCUAAGCUAUUCAUGUCAAAGGCUGGUAUCAGAAUCACUAUGGUGUAAAAGAGAUUGUGAAAUAAAAAAGAUAUACAU
rnacentral:lncRNA from 1 species